CUGAGAUACCUUCAUCUGAUCGAUUUUUGAAGGCAGCAUAGAUGUAACUUCGCUGCCUAUAAUAUCCCACAAUCCUGUGCGUUCCAUUCGGUGAGAGUUGAGCUAGAAGAAGAAAGAUGGCAUCUGAAAGUUGCGGUUUCAGUUUUCCAUCUAGUGUAUCUCUCUGAGGGGCUCCGGAGUGACGAGGAGACCGACAGCAUCGCGUGAUUGGCAGGUGACGUGAUUGACGUCCACAAGGUGGCACGGGGAAGACGAGUCAAGUGGCAGGUGUGCAGGAACACCAGCAUGGCUGUGGAGAGCUUCUCUGAGCUCCUGCAGAAACUGCGGGAGGUCCAUGAGCAUGAGUUAGAGGUGUGGCAGGAGAAAGUACUGGAGCUGACAAAUAAAAAGAAUAUCGAUACAAAGCGCAUGGAAGAACUUUACAACAGGAACCAGCAGAUGAGAGAACAGCAGCGGAUCCUCACUGAGAACAUUAAACAGCUGGAGAACAGGUUGCGGGCUGGGUUGUGCGACAGGUGUACAGUCACUCAGGAUGUGGCUAAAAAAAGACAACAGGAGUAUGAAAACUCCCAGCUCCAAAGUCUACAGCACAUCUCUUUACUGGUGAGUGAGAUGAAUGCACUAAAGAAAGAAAAUGACAGACUGAGAGAGGAGCUGAAAGGCUUGAGGGAUUCGUCGAAUCGGCAGAAUGGUCAUUUAGAGGACACGAUCAUCACAGAGGUCAAGAUGUCACCUGACACAGCAGCGGCUGCUGUGACUCUACUGACCUCAGGGCAGAAGUCCAGCCAACCUCCACCAGGGGACGCCACUGUACCUGCAGCGACUGUCAAACGAGAGACAGACAACAGCCCAACUGACAGUCUGGAAAAAGCAUCUGAACACAAACUUAUGCAAAGCUGGGGCAGGGCGUUUUCAUUCGAAUCUAAGGCCAUGUUGCCCACCUCGAGCCCUGUGAGAUGGGAGGCCGAACACGGCACUGAAAGGAGAGCUGCCAGCGUGGACUCGGUGGAGCACAGACACUCUCCUUUGUCUCCUCUUAUCCCAUCUCCUCUUAGUCUACUGAAGAACAAUCCUAUUUUUUCUUCUACUGCCUCUGAUGAACGUAGCAGCCGGCAACAAAUCCACGCCCCCGUCCCCUUCCGGCCGCUUCCGAUCAAGACCAGUCGCCUGCCUAUCCCAUGGUCACUUUCUGAAUCCUCUGACUGGGUAGCAGCAGCCAGCUCUGGUGUUAGUAGUAGAAUAGCGGUUAAUCCAAGCCAGAGCCCAUUUUCAAGCUCAAACAUACUGCGUUUCCCUAAACUGGUCCCACCAAGCAGCGGCCUCCAGUCCCGCAUGCACUGCUCAACACCUGGCGGCCUGCGGCCCUGGUCCCGCAGAAACCUCUCAGAGCAUGCAGAGAGUAGAGAAAAGAAAGUGACAGAACCCGUUGCAGCGCCGCCCCAGUGGAGGGUCUCGGCUGCGCAGUCAGAGAGGAUUUUUGGAGAGAAUUUAAGAGAGGAGGAAGAGGAUGCACCGCUGGACCUGUCUGAUUCAGGACGCUCAAAAAGCCAAGAGAGGGAGAAAACGCACUCACAGAGCGAUGCAUCUUCAUCUUUGUCUUCCUCACCACAUGCUGCACUUUCAUCGUCGUCUCAAUGUCCAUCAAGUCCUCAAAGUGACCAGCAGACUGCAGAUAAUAAUACACAGCAGGAGGAAGCACAAGAAAGAUGUAAGGAACAGGAAGAGGUAAAGGAAGGUGAAACAUCUCCAGCAGCUGAAACAUCUUUCAGCUCAGAGAACAAGAAACUCCCAUCACUAACCAUUUCCCUGCAGCCAGUUGUGGUUAUGGAGCCGCUUAAACCUGGAGGACAGGUCACUGAUACUGGGAACAGACCAAUGGAGCAAGAGGAGAAGGAGAACAACAAUCUUGAAACAAGCAGAAAAAGACCUGGGCAGGAUACUGAUGCUCUAUUCCAGCGCUCGCUAAAGGAGAGGAAAAUACGGCUGAGCAGAGGACCUCAAGGAAACCAUGCAGCCCCAGAUCAAGGAUGAAGGCAUUGGAUUCUACUACAAUCUGGUGACUGUGGUUAUUAAGCCAGUCAUUUUGUUUUCAGCCUUCGUCACCAGCCUCCAAGUCCAAAUCCCUGGUGUUUACUUUAGUUUUCCAGAAAAACCAGAAAAACCAACAAAAAAGAUUUUAACCGCAUCUGUCAACAUAAUUUGCAUGUAUCAAACAGAAUCGGUACUCCAGUGCACACUGCAAUUCUAUUAGAUCUAUUAUUAGUGUGUGCAAACGAUAUAGUUCGUAUAACCUUAAUUUUAAAUAAACAGAAUAUGUUCCUUCAGUGGGUAGAUUUCCCAGCAGUCUUUAGCUGUACUACAACAGGAAGCCAGCUUUUCUUACUGACAGGGGGCUGUCAAUAAACUUAUCAACUAGAUUGAUUUUAUUUUUCGCGGUUUCGCUUUCGUCUUCCUCUUUCUUCAUUUAUACCAUGAGUUAUUAAUAAUGUACAUUAUAAUUGCUUGCUUUCUUGUGUUGUCUCAGUUGUCGUGUCUUCUCUCAGUCUGUGUUCAUUCUCUCUUCCGUGUGAGAGCUGUCACAUCUCAUCUAUUUUUGUCUCUGUCUGAGCACCAUGGCCUGCUUCUUGUAGAUGUGACAAAAUGAAAAAACCUCGGCUUCCCCUUUUGGUUUUUUUUGAGAUGUCAAGCAUAUAUUUUGUAAUAGUGAAUUUUCCACUUGCAGCUGUAAACGCUUUCAGAGUGUAAAGGAGGAAGGUAAAACUGUGAAGAACAAAGUGUACUUUAUUAAACUUUCUGUACCAUUGCAUUAAACUAGUCUUAUACCUUUGCUUUUAUCUGAGGUAAAGCUAAUUUAGAGAUAUUAGCUAUACUAAAAUUCCUAACUUUUUUGUUAAAAAAAUGGACACAUAAAUAAAGGUAUUUUGAUGGCUUACCGAGGUUCCCAUAGGCUUUUUUUUAUCAGUGGCUGUGGUCAUACCUUGCGAAGUAUCAUUCUGUAUAUGGUUUAGGAUGUGGGAAACACUUACAGUGCUGCAGGAAGAGGUAUCAAUCGUUUCACCGUGAAGAACAUGACUGCUUUGCAUCAUUGGAACAAUUUAUAUUUUUCACUUUAGUAUGCCAAUCACCACAACAUUUAGCUUGCUUAAUUUUGUAUACUGAAGGGAGUUUAAAUUACAAAGGAUCCCAUUAAAAACCUGUGGAUUUUCUGUUUCCAAAGUUUCUAAUAUGAAUGUUUUAUUUGUAAUUUGAUCUAUGCACAGUUCUGGCUUUAGUAUUAUAUAUUACAGAAGAGGGAGAUUUAUGUAUUUGCUUGUGUUUUAAUGUCUCUCUUUCUCCGUCUAUUUCACAAGAAGAGUGUGUUUAAUCCCACCAUCUGAUAGGGGAUUAUUAGAAGCUCACUGUUUUUCAGAGUCAUUAUAUAACUGUGAGGCCAGACCAACUGUUUCCAGUCCAAUAAUACAUCUGUGCGUCUCUAUCUCUGGUAGUGUACUAAUAGAUACACACAGAUCUGACAAGCAAACAUGGUCUAAAUCUGCCUUUAUUAUGAUUUUUCCUUUUCUAUUCAUAUAUACAGGCUAUGUAAGUGAUAUAUAGCCUAUAUUUAAAACGCACGCCUCAGAAUUUGAAUGACAUUUUGGCCGAAUGAAGUGCUGAGGGCGUUUUUUUUGUUUGUUUGUCAAAAGUGACAUUGCAAAAGUAUUUUUAACAACUUUUUUGCAACCUACACACACACACACAAAAGUUCUACGAAGUUCUACGAAGACAAUUGCGUGAAUAGGGCAUGCGGAUAUUGAAGCGGAAUAUUUAUGACAGAUUUCCUCUGACUACAGAAUGUGUCGCAAUAUUCACUGAGCUCCCUACCUAGACAGCACUUUAGUUAUAAUCAGCGCUUGAGUCAUUUCCGCCAUCAUAAACUCGAUAUUAGUCGUGUCGGCUCAGUGUGUAUGAAUGAGUUGAGCUGACUCGGAACACGCCUGAUGCCUGUAGCUGUUGUCUACGCAGGCAUCUCAGUAGUAUUUGAAACACGGCCGCCAACUUCCUCUUGAACAGUAGUGAAACUGUCAGUCUCUCUGAGAGAGUGAGGCGCAUCACUGUGAUGGAAUAGCCGGUGUGAAGAGACUUCAAUAUUUUCUCGUCGUUGGAGAAACUUUGUGAAUAAAAAAAAAAACUCUUAGACUGGAUUGCGAUUGAAGAGGAUCCAUCUCCUCAUGUAAAACGAGACUCAAAAACCACACUUUACAGUUACAUUUUACAUUUCUCUAUUGGCUGUCUGCCUGCUGAAGUAAAUAAGCAUGCUGUGUGUUCUGACAGUGUGCACAUACGGUAUGAUUCUGGGAGAGAAAACAAAAAACAAUGAGAGAGCCGUGACAAGGAAGGUGGAACUAACACAUCUCACAUUUGCAUGCGUGUGGUUAAAUGGAAAGAGCUGUAGUUCUGAGUCUUCUCAUGCUCCUGAGGGAAAAGUGGAGGUGGUUCGUCCAAACUCUGGGCCUUUGAGGGACGAAACAAUCUUUCAAUGGAAUGGGCGACACUGUCGAAAGGCAAAUCUGAAAAUUUCCUCAGGGAACGAUCAGUUAUCAAAUCCAGAGUCGGAAGAAGGAAAUGUACUUGUGAUCAAGCCAGCAAUUAAGAGGAGACAAACUGAGUAAAGGCUUGAAGAACUAUCAGCCCUAUUGUGAGAAAGAAGUACACUUUAGCAUACGUUUAGUACAGAAAUAAUAGACUUCAAAAGAAUAGGCCUAUACUUAAAGGGAUAGUUCACCAAAAAAUUAAAAUUGUGUCAUUAUUUACUCACCCUCAAGUUGUUCCAAACCUGUAUGAAGUUCUUUCUUCUGCUGAACACACAAAAGAAGAUACUUUGAAGAAUAUGGGUAACCAAACAGUUGAUGGACCCCACUGACUUCCGUAGUAUGGGAAAAAAAAUACUAUGGAAGUCAAAAAGGCCCAUCUAAAUCUCUUGUGUGUUCAGCAGAAGAAAGAAAUUCAUAGAGGUUUGGAACAAUUGAUGACAGAAUUUUCAUUUUUGGGUGAACUAUCCCUUUAAAGUGUGCUUUUUUUGACCCACUUAAGUAGGACUUAAGUAUGUAAUGGUAAACUAUGUUAGUCAACACACCAAAAUAAGUGUACUUAAAUGUACAUUGAAGUAGAACUUUUUAAAUUUGACAUUAUUACAAAAUGCACUUUUUAAAAGUGUACUUAAAUGUGUUAAGAAGCAUAGUCAUGAAAGUGUCUUUACACUUAAGUGGCCUUUUAUUUCAUUCAUAUUAUAUUAUCCACAAGUACAGUUCUUUAAAAAUAUACUUGUAAAAGAUUUGACGAUACACUACAAGAGUACAUUCAAUAAAAUUAAGCGCCCUUCUUUGUCACAAGAGUCAGCCAGUUAGACUAAAAAAGCAUUUGAAAAAAAAAAAAAAAAAAGUAACAGCUCAGAUAAACAGAAAGCAGAACAUGGGUGAACAAGCUAAGGGAAGCAAGUUCUUAAUGCAUCACAAAUUUCUCAAACUAAUUGCGUCCCCUGAAGGACGCAACUCUACUAGCUGUUCUUGAAUUAGAACUUUAACAUCUCUAUUAUUGUUUCUCUACUAAAUAACAUCUGUACUAUUUACGUCUUCACCCGGGUUACCUACAAGACAAACAGACUGGCUAUUAAUAUGAAAUAUGUUGUUUUGUUUGUGGUUUUUUAUGUGAGGCCAUGUGUGAUCUGAGUAAAGGUGCAAGUUAAUUAUCAAACUGGAAGGAAACAUGAA